rnacentral:rRNA from 1 species
GUAGGUGGCAAGCGUUGUCCGGAAUUAUUGGGCGUAAAGCGCGCGCAGGCGGUCCUUUAAGUCUGAUGUAAAAGCCCACGGCUCAACCGUGGAGGGUCAUUGGAAACUGGGGGACUUGAGUACAGAAGAGGAAAGCGGAAUUCCAAGUGUAGCGGUGAAAUGCGUAGAGAUUUGGAGGAACACCAGUGGCGAAGGCGGCUUUCUGGUCUGUAACUGACGCUGAGGCGCGAAAGCGUGGGGAGCAAACAGGAUUAGAUACCCUGGUAGUCCACGCCGUAAACGAUGAGUGCUAAGUGUUAGGGGGUUUCCCGCCCCCUUAGUGCUGCAGCUAACGCAUUAAGCACUCCGCCUGGGGAGUACGGCCGCAAGGCUG